rnacentral:rRNA from 1 species
UGCCAGGACCAUCUGGUAAGGCUAAAUACUCCUGAGAGACCGAUAGUGAACUAGUACCGUGAGGGAAAGGUGAAAAGCACCCCGAACAGGGGAGUGAAAUAGUACCUGAAACCUUGCGCUUACAAACGGUCGGAGCGAUGAUUUAUCAUUGUGACGGCGUGCCUUUUGCAUAAUGAGCCUACGAGUUACUCUUCACUAGCAAGGUUAAGACUUUAAGGGUCGGAGCCGAAGCGAAAGCAAGUCUGAAUAGGGCGAAUAAGUUAGUGGAGGUAGACGCGAAACUUGGUGAUCUACCCUUGGCCAGGUUGAAGUUCCGGUAACACGGGAUGGAGGACCGAACCAGUUGACGUUGAAAAGUCUUUGGAUGAGCUGAGGGUAGGGGUGAAAGGCCAAUCAAACCAAGAAAUAGCUCGUACUCCCCGAAAUGCAUUUAGGUGCAGCCUCAUAUUAGUUUCACAGAGGUAGAGCUACUGAUAAGGCUAGAGGGCUUCGCCGCCUAUCAACCCUUGACAAACUCCGAAUGCUGUGAAAUGAUUUAUGGGAGUGAGGCUAUGGGUGCUAAGGUCCAUAGCCAAAAGGGAAAGAACCCGGACCAUCAGCUAAGGUCCCCAAAUGUAUAAACGAGGUGCGACUGCUUAGACAGCUAGGAUGUUGGCUUGGAAGCAGCCAUUCAUUUAAAGAGUGCGUAACAGCUCACUAGUCGAGCGGUUGUGCGUGGAUGAUACUCGGGCAUAAAUAUACUACCGAAGCUAUGGGUUUGCGAUUUAUCGCAAGCGGUAGGGGAGCAUUCCAGUCAGCUUUGAAGGCGUAUCGUAAGGUACUCUGGAGCGUCUGGAAAAGAAAAUGUAGGCAUAAGUAACGAUAAAGGGGGUGAGAAACCCCCUCACCGAUAGACUAAGGUUUCCUGAUCAACGCUAAUCGGAUCAGGGUUAGUCGGGACCUAAGGGAAAGCCGAGAGGCGUAACCGAUGGACAACUGGUUAAUAUUCCAGUACCACCAAAUAUUGCGAUGGGGUGACGGAGCAGUGACAAGACCGCGUACUGACGGAAUAGUACGUUAAAGGGUGUAGGUAUACAGAUGGGUUAAUAGCUCGACUGUGCUGAACCUGAUAGUACCACAAGCCUUCGGGCGAGUGGAUAGUGUCUGUAAUCAUACUUCCAAGAAAAACCUCUAAGCUUCAGAUAUAUGGUGCCCGUACCUCAAACCGACACAGGUAGUCAAGGAGAGAAUCCUGAGGUGCUCGAGUGAUUCGUGGCUAAGGAACUAGGCAAAAUAGUCCUGUAACUUCGGGAGAAAGGACGCCUGCUUCGGCAGGCCGCAGAGAAAUGGCCCAAGCGACUGUUUAUCAAAAACACAAGGCUUUGCGAAAUCGAAAGAUGAAGUAUAAGGCCUGACACCUGCCCGGUGCCGGAAGGUUAAGAGGGGAUGUUAUCUUCGGAGAAGCAUUGAAUCGAAGCCCCGGUAAACGGCGGCCGUAACUAUAACGGUCCUAAGGUAGCGAAAUUCCUUGUCGGGUAAGUUCCGA